AUAGUAAUGUCAGUUAGACAGUGAGGCUUUCAAACUCCAACAGUGACCUGAAGUGAGAGGAGGUAGCAUCGCUGCCAUGCCUUUGGGAAUUCUCUGAAAAAGUGGGAGAGUACUGCAUGGACAUCUGCUGUGCAGAUGUUUCGUAAUUUCAGUGCAUGUGUGUUGAUGAUCUAAUGUCUACAGGCUUUUACAACUUAUUUUCUAUGAAAGGAAAGUAGUACAUUAUCAGCCAUUUACCCAAACUCCUUUUCUGUAUUCAUUGCCUGGCUAAAUAUUGCCAUGCAGAAUGUGGUCUAUGGGUUAUAAUUUGUCCUAUUUGCAUGCAGCCAGCCCUCCUUUGUAACAUCUGCAGUCGAAUUCAAGUUGAGAGUUACCAGUAUGGAGUAACGAAACAAAAUUCUGGAACCUUAGUCAAGGUAACUUAACAGUGGGCCUUAACAGCGGUAACUGAACUAACACAUACAUGAAACAUUUAAAUGUAAGUUGUUGGUGAAGGUCACUGGCACUGGAGAAUAGCCAAUAUUCAAAAUAAAAGUGGACAGAUGCUGACUGCCACUAUUUAGCAGCUCCAUGCCCUGUCAUUGUUCCCAGUGGAAUGCCCCUGGAAUGCAGCAGCACAAGAGAUGGGCCGAAGAGCCACAGAAGCGGCAUUCUGCAGAGUCCAAGAGAGUGGCCCUACACUGAAGUGAGGAGGAACAAGAAAAGCAGCUGAACCAUAAGCCAGAAGUCUCCUAGUCCAGCGCAAGUGAGCCUCUACAAGGACAAGGGCUUCAGUGGCUGAGGAUCUGGUAGUAUGCCGUACCCACUCUCCUACACAUUCCUUCUAAAGAAGUAAGUGGCACAGAACUAUCUGGGCAUCUGAGAGCUUUCUCUGUGCAUCACCUACACCCAGAUUGACCUGGAGCCAAGGGCUAAGCUGUUAGGUUACGUAAUUGCAUUUGGGUGCUAAAGCACUCUCAUUCAGCACUGGAUCCCUAAAGUAUAACUUAGUGGCAUUACAAAACAUUCCGAAUUCAAAGAGACUGGAAGAAAUGUGCCAUUUGUCAGUAAAAGUAGUUUGAUGUACCUCUCAAACAAGUAGGAUAUUACAUUCAACCUAAAACUGGAAAAGGCAAAUUUGUCCAUCAGAAAGAAUGGACAUUCUUAGGAGAAGCCUGACUUUACUACUUUUUUUUUAUCCCAUGAGCCAAAACAGGACUCCGCUCUUUAUUUAUCUUUCUCCUGAGCAUUUACAAUGAUCUCUAAGUUAUUUUAAUAAAUUGUCA